rnacentral:rRNA from 1 species
AUUGAACGCUGGCGGCAUGCCUUACACAUGCAAGUCGAACGGAAACAGGCCUUCGUGUCCUGUCUAGUGUCGAACGGGUGCGUAAUGCAUCGGAACGUGCCCCGUGGCUGUGGAUAACGCAUCGCUACCUGUGCUCAUACCUCAUGUGAUCUGAGGUUGUAAACGGCGGACCACACAACAAUAUUUGGCCUCGCGCCUUUCGUGUAGCCGAUGUCGGAUUAGGUAGUUGGUGGGGUAAAGGCCUACCAAGCCGACGAUGUGUAGCGGAUCUGAGAGGAUGACCAGCCACACUGGAACUGAGACACGGCCCAGACUCCUACGGGAGGCAGCAGUGGGGAAUUUUGGACAAUGGGCGCAAGCCUGAUCCAGCAAUGCCGCGUGAGGGAAGAAGGCCUUCGGGUUGUAAAACGCUUUUGUAAGGAACGAAAAGGUGUUGGCUAAUACAUGGGGCUGAUGACGGUACCGAAAGAGAAAGCACCGGCUAACUACGUG